UUGUUCUGUGGUAGUAAUAGGAACAUGAGAAGAACCGAAGGGAGCUUACGGUGGAAACCGGACGGUCCGACUAACAAUACUUUAAGGUGUCAAUGGGCCAAUAGAAACGAGAAGACGUCUCUCGGUCGAACUCAGAACAGUUAUCUACGACCGAAUUUAAGUAGAGCCUCGCACGUCUUGAACCACCAUUCCCGCCCCAGCGCCGUCCUCCUGGGGUUAGCUUCCAGCAUGGUGGCUAAGCCAACGCCGCGGCACGAGCCGAGCGGCCACAACAACGAGCGGUAGGGGUGCGGCGAUGCCCCGACAGUCCAGCAUCAGCUUCGUUGCCCCUCCUCAGGGCUUCCGGCGCCCAGCGGUUAUCACCUACCCGCGCCCACGCAACCGUGAACCCCAUCCCCAUCCGCACCGACGCUCCGUCCGCCACCGCCGCGCGCCUGUCGCCACUCCCCGCCCCGCCCCGCCCUCCAGUCUACUCUAG
rnacentral:rRNA from 1 species